ACUUUCCAGUCAUUAAAAUGUAGCUCAUGUAUAAAGGAAUAUUUGAUGGACAAUUGGUUUAUCUCAACAGCUCUGUAAAUUCUGUCAGCUUAUUACUGCUUAAAUGAAAUAUAUCUUCUUUUGCAAUUAGUCUUUCUUAAUCAUCUGGAUUUAUGUCCUAAGAUUGCCUUCUGAUUGUCACUGACUUUAACUCUCUCAUGUAACCAUAAAUACUUAUUUAAUGUCCACUGUACCCACAGCUCUUGUUAGGUCCAAAAGCUCCAUGUCAGAAUCUUAAAAGCAGAAAGAGGCAUGGACCUAAAGAGUCUUAAAUAACUUUCCCUUUAUGUAAAUCCUGGUCUUUCUAGGUAAAU
rnacentral:lncRNA from 1 species